rnacentral:rRNA from 1 species
GCGCACCAGGCGAGAAACUUUACAAUGUGCGAAAGCACGAUAAGGGAACUCUGAGUGCCUCCUAAGGAGGCUGUUCUGAUGUCUAAAAGCAACAGAAGUAAGGGCUGGGUAAGACCGGUGCCAGCCGCCGCGGUAACACCGGCAGCCCAAGUGGUAGCCACGUUUAUUGGGUCUAAAGCGUUCGUAGCCGGCCAGGUAAGUUCCUUGGUAAAUUUAGCCGCUUAACGGUUAAGCUUUCAGGGAAUACUGCUUGGCUUGGGACUGGGAGAGGUCAGAGGUACUCCGGGGGUAGGGGUGAAAUCUAUUAAUCCCUGGGGGACCACCGGUAGCGAAGGCGUCUGACCAGACCAGGUCCGACGGUGAGGGACGAAGGCUAGGGGCGCGAACC